CGGCAGGCUUAACACAUGCAAGUCGAGCGGUAACAGGGGUAGCUUGCUACCCGCUGACGAGCGGCGGACGGGUGAGUAAUGCAUAGGAAACUGCCCAGUAGUGGGGGAUAGCCCGGGGAAACCCGGAUUAAUACCGCAUACGUCCUUCGGGAGAAAGCAGGGGAUCUUUGGACCUUGCGCUAUUGGAUGUGCCUAUGUCGGAUUAGCUGGUUGGUGAGGUAAUGGCUCACCAAGGCGACGAUCCGUAGCUGGUCUGAGAGGAUGAUCAGCCACAUCGGGACUGAGACACGGCCCGAACUCCUACGGGAGGCAGCAGUGGGGAAUAUUGGACAAUGGGGGCAACCCUGAUCCAGCCAUGCCGCGUGUGUGAAGAAGGCUUUCGGGUUGUAAAGCACUUUCAGUGAGGAGGAAAAGUUAGUCCUUAAUACGGGCUAGCCUUGACGUACUCACAG
rnacentral:rRNA from 1 species